AAUGAACGCUGGCGGCGUGCUUAACACAUGCAAGUCGAACGAGAAAGCCCCUUCGGGGGUGAGUAGAGUGGCGAACGGGUGAGUAACGCGUAAGAAUCUUCCCAGCAGUGAAGAAUACCUCCGGGAAACCGGGGCUAAUACUGCAUACGUCCCUUCGGGGAAAAAGGUGGCCUCUUGCUACCGCUGUUGGAUGAGCUUGCGUACUAUUAGCUUGUUGGUGAGGUAAAGGCUCACCAAGGCUAUGAUGGUUAGCCGGCCUGAGAGGGUGACCGGCCACAUUGGGACUGAGAUACGGCCCAGACUCCUACGGGAGGCAGCAGUGGGGAAUAUUGCACAAUGGGCGAAAGCCUGAUGCAGCGACGCCGCGUGGAGGAUGACGGUCUUCGGAUUGUAAACUCCUGUUAAGUGGGAAGAAAGAGGCAUAAGUAAUAUUUAUGCAAGAUGACGGUACCACUAAAGAAAGCUCCGGCUAACUUCGU
rnacentral:rRNA from 1 species